rnacentral:RNase_P_RNA from 1 species
AGAUUGAGCAAUUACGGGGGCGCAGCAAUGCGUCAAUGAGGAAAGUCCGAGCAUCACACAGCAGGGUAACGGCUAACGGCCGCCGAGGGCGACCUCCGGGAAAGUGCAUAGAGAUAUACCGCCGUAUUUAUACGGUAAGGGUGGAAAGGCGAGGUAAGAGCUCACCGGAAUAUUGGUAACAAUAUUGCCAAGUAAACCCUACCCGAUGCAACAUCGACCGAAGUUGUCAGCUGGGCAGAUACUUCGACGGAUGGCUUGAGCGUAUCGGCAACGGUACGAGUAGAUAGAUAAUUGCUUUCAAUGACAGAACUCGGCUUACAGGUUUACUCA